UGUAAACAAGCAGUGGUGAAUUGUGGUCAUGGUGAUAGACCUGUUCUCUCUCCUUGGUCUUAAAGGCCUGGAAUACAUUCCUCUUUCUAUGGAUAUUUAUUGGGCUUUACUUCAAGCUGGAUUCUGGCAAUACAUUAAGAAGAUUCUCUGACCUUAGGGAAUUCAUAGUCUAUUGCGGCAUGCCAAUAUUUAGCCAAGUACUGCAUCCAACCUGGUUACCUAUCUAUAUUGACUGUCUGUCUUUAAUUCUUGCUUCACCAUAAUUGUUAUAAUUUUGUAAAUGAAGAAACUGAGGCACAAACUUCAGUACUUUUUCCAUCUUCCUGCAACUAUUAGUCAGUGAAUCUGGGCUGGGAACCCAGGCAGUCUGGCUCCAGACUCUUAAUUACUCCACUGCAGCAACAUUUUCUAUAGAAGGAAUCCAGGUCCUCAGGAAAUGGUACACAACAUCUCAAACAAUAUGCAAAAAGUUAAUUAAUCAGUUAAUAAAGAACUGUAUGCAAAACAACCAAGUACUGAUGCUGAGGAGAGAGUGAAAGAUAUGAUGCAUGAACAUUGCUGAAGUGACUUCAAAGUUGGAGUCCCUGGCACAUGGUUGGUGAGGUGCCACGCGGGUGGCAGCCACUGAAGUGCCCCUUGGAUCUCUUUUCAAGGGAAACUGCUUCAGGGAGGGUAGCUGGGGAGCAGUUUCCAGCUAUGCCCAUUCAGAUCCAUCCAAGUCUUCAUCUUCAUCCAGAGGCCAGGUCUCCAAUGACUUCUCCCAGAAGAUUCUCUAUCCAAGGCAGACUGCUCUGCUGGAGAACCUUUGCUCUGGCUCUCCCCAUUGGCCUGCAGUUAAUUUCCAGGUACUGAAUCUUGGAGAGUAGAAGAGGUUUUUUACCCUCCCACACAGGGGAUCUGCACAGAUCUGCCUCAGAACUUCAUGAUGGAACAAAUAGGAGCACCCAGCCUUUAUAGAACUCACACAGGCUGUGAUUUAAAACCAGUCCAGUUCCUCCAUUGCCACAACCUGGCCCUGAGGAAUGUUCCACGGCUCCUGACUGAGAAGCCAUAUUGUGAUGAAGUGUGGGGGAUGGCCCUGCACAACACCCUACAAAAGCCUCUCUAUUCUGCCUCAGGCUGAUUUCAUGAUGCUGGGGGUUUGGAGGAGGGACAAUGGCACCCCAAGAGCAACUGUUCAGAGAAGGUGAUUCCAUGGGACUCAAACUCAUUAGUUCAAGAGUGUAGCUCUUUCAUAAUCCAGUAUUACCUAGUGAUAAAACUCAACAUGCAGGCAAAUGAAAAAAACAAACAACCCAUUUAAUAGAUGGGUGCAUGAAAUGAACAGACCCUUUUCAAAAGAAGUACUGUAUUACCAGAUUCCUGGGACUCCAACAGACCUUCAGGAGCCGAAUCCAACGCAAUCACACAAGAGUCUUUAUUGCAAGCUUGAGCCUGGACUCACAACAGUUUCUGAAGCAGCUCACUUCCCAGGAAGUGAGCCCUGGUCCUAUGUUCAAUGAGAUUUUAUAGGUUUUGGGGGAUACUCUAUGAGUCACAACAUCACACAGCAAAUCAUUCCACACCACAGGAAAUUUAAACAACAACUCUUAGCAUUGAUUAGCACAUUCACUGGUGGGAACAAGUUGGGUAGGGGUGAUUGGUUAGUACACGAGGGGAAUUUGUUUGAACGGAUUGGUUUAAUCCAUGAGGGGUGUAUGUGCUAAACUACAUGGUUUCCUAACAUAUUAUCAACCACCAUAAACUACUGGGGGGUCAUCUGGUAUCCCAGGUAUUUCCCUGUCUCAUGCUGAUUGAUGGUUGCUAGGAAGUUGUUAUGGGUCCUCACCUAGCCUAACUGAGUCAGGGACACCUGGCACCACAGAUCUCUCCUGUUAUUUGCAGACAAACAACUCAGCAGGGUGGCUAUCUGCCUCCUCAGGCUCUGUGGGUUUUUCCAGGGACAAGGGUCACACCCAUUCCUUGGAUAGGCUUUGCUCUGAGGUAGAGAUUGUUUUUUUUUUUUUUUGUAUUGAGAAACUGAUGUGAUGGGGUCACAUCAGUUUCUCAAUACAAAUGGCCAACAAUUAUAUGAAAAUUACAUGACAUCUUUAGCUGUCUGGGAAAUACAAAUCAAAACCACUCUAGGAUUCCAUCUCACUCCAGUGAGAAUCAUCAAGAAUACAAGCAACAUGCUGGGUGCCUGUGAUUCUACUCAGGAGGCUGAGGCAGGACAAACGCAGGUUCGAGGCCAUCCUGGGCAACUUAGACCCUGCCUCAAAAUAAAAAAUCAAAAUGAUUGGAGAUGUAAAGCAUUCCUGGGUCAGGUCCCCAGUAGCAAACAAAACAACAAGCAACAAUAAAUGCUGGUGAAGAUUCAAGGAAGAAAGAACUCUUACGUACUGUUGGUGGUGGGAAUGUAAGUUAGUGUUAGAGUCUGUAAACAAGUCAAAAUAACACCUGGCAUUUUGCCAGGGGAAUGUUAGAGUUCGUAAACAAGUCUGGAUGGUGCCUGGCAAAAUGCCAGAGGGAGUGGUUUGAGAAGUAACAAAAGCGAGCCAUUAAGUGUGGAGAUUCCUGAUUGGUUGACUGAUGUAUCUAGUUUAUGUUAAUUAGAUAAGCUGUAUGGAAUGUAUAAAUACUGCUCCUGUCCUGCAAUAAACGGCUUCCACUCCUGCUGUA